rnacentral:rRNA from 1 species
GACGAACGCUGGCGGCGUGCUUAACACAUGCAAGUCGAACGGUAAGGCCCUUCGGGGUACACGAGUGGCGAACGGGUGAGUAACACGUGGGUGAUCUGCCCUGCACUUCGGGAUAAGCCUGGGAAACUGGGUCUAAUACCGGAUAGGACCAUGCGCUGCACGGAGUGUGGUGGAAAGCUUUUGCGGUGUGGGAUGGGCCCGCGGCCUAUCAGCUUGUUGGCGGGGUAAUGGCCUACCAAGGCGACGACGGGUAGCCGGCCUGAGAGGGUGACCGGCCACACUGGGACUGAGAUACGGCCCAGACUCCUACGGGAGGCAGCAGUGGGGAAUAUUGCACAAUGGGCGCAAGCCUGAUGCAGCGACGCCGCGUGAGGGAUGACGGCCUUCGGGUUGUAAACCUCUUUCAGUAGGGACGAAGCGCAAGUGACGGUACCUACAGAAGAAGGACCGGCCAACUACGUGCCAGCCGCCGCAGUAA